CCUUUGUAUAAAUUUAACAAACCGUUUCAAAGUAAAAUAAAUUAACAUAAAUAUGCUGUUGUCUUAAAAAAACAAAAAAAAAAGUGUUGGUAACACACUCUUUCUAUGUAAGAUACACUUUAUUAUUGGUUGAAAUUUAUUAGAAAUUAUAAAAUCAUGAAAAAAAAAUUCUGUUAUUUUAAAAAAAUUUGAAGUUGAAAAUAGUAUAUUCUCAUAUCUCACAAAUAUGUUGUUACUAUUGCAACCAAAAUCAACUUUGACUGUCAAGCUAGAGUAGAGGACGUUAUGGAAUCAAUCAACUAUUGAAAACAAUGUAACUAUGCAGAAAUUAAGUUGGACGUGUUCAUACCCUUGAGUUGCCUCUUUGGUUCCCUUGCAGAAGCAGAACUUGUAACCUAGACACAAGUUCAUUAAUCUCAAUCUCAGUGAACUUUGAAGUUCUUGACGACCUUCUCUGCCCUGACAUGAUGACUAUAUAGAUGUUUUAGCUAUAUAUAUAUAUAUAGCUCUCUUUGUUAAUUUAAUUGCUUUCUUGUGCUCAGUACAUCUGGCCUUUCCUUUCAGUGUGUUGUGGGAAAGUGGCACCAAGGAGGGUCUUUAAAUAGAGGAUGAGGGUGAGAGGUACUGUUUCCCAUCAAGGUUGUUGAAAGCCCAGAUUAAU
rnacentral:lncRNA from 1 species